GGGGGUGCCUUCCCUCCUUUUUGCCAUGAAGCCAGCUGAGGCAGAAUGAGGUACCCUGAAAUGGCAGAAUGGAUUCUACCACUUCAGGGUGGGGAAGCAAAACCACACCAGACACCACAAGAAUCACCAACCCAGGUCCAUAGCAGAUGGCCAUUCCAGUUUUUUUCAUGCCCUUUACUGGAUCCUUCCCACAAAGAAUUCAUACAUGCAGUGAACUUGUCUGAGUUAAUAUGACUCAUUUUUUGCUCAUUCUGAUAAUGCAGACUAUGUUCUCAAAGGAAAAAUUAUAAAUCAAUGCACUGCUUUAUAGGAAGACAGGUUGUGCAUACAGAAGAGAAGAAAUAUCAUCAAGUGGAAAGCUAUGAAUUAUCUGGCAACAGCAUUAUAAAUAAAAUAAAGAUGGGGGCCUGCAAAAGGUUGCCAUAAAGGGAAUUACAAACAUAUCAGGGCACUCUUGAAGGCAUUACUACACUAGAGCAUCUAUGGAGAAAAAUGUAAACAUUCUUGCUAAAUUUACAGUAUUGAACAGAACAUUAAAACUUCUGAGGACUGUAGUCCAAGUCUAUGUAAACAGAUUGCCUCAUCAUGCUUCCCACAUCUUUGGGACACUCCAAAGUGCACAGUAGGUUAUGAAAAACAG